UAAACAGAGAGUUUGAUCCUGGCUCAGGACGAACGCUGGCGGCGUGCCUAACACAUGCAAGUCGAACGAAGCAUUUGAUUGGAAGUUUUCGGAUGGAAGAUGAGAUGACUGAGUGGCGGACGGGUGAGUAACGCGUGGGUAACCUGCCCCAUACAGGGGGACAACAGUUAGAAAUGACUGCUAAUACCGCAUAAGCGCACGAGGACGCAUGUUCUUGUGUGAAAAACUGAGGUGGUAUGGGAUGGAUCCGCGUCUGAUUAGCUAGUUGGCAGGGUAAAGGCCUACCAAGGCGACGAUCAGUAGCCGGCCUGAGAGGGUGGACGGCCACAUUGGGACUGAGACACGGUCCAAACUCCUACGGGUAACCUUUGGUUUUUCUGAUCUACUCAUUGUCAGCGCCUCCUUUCACCUGUGAUUCAUAUACCUCUCUGUAUAUUUCGUUAGUCCU
rnacentral:rRNA from 1 species